CGCUACUAAACACGGAUAUCGGCCAAUGCGAUAUAUUAAAAAAUGACAAAUAUCGGCCCGAUAUAUCGGCCGACCGAUAUAUCGGUCGACCUCUAAUUCUAAACACACUGUAUUUGGUUGUUGUAGAUGUUCCUUUAUCAGAGAGCACUUUUAAAGUUUUACAACCACCUUAUCAACUGCUGAAAAAUGGAAGUCAGAGGACACAUGACCAACUUGCUACAACACAACACAAAAGGUCUGAACUAUGAAGUGCAACAAUACUUGUUUGGUCAUCUACAUUCAGAUGAAAACACAACACUCCUCUCUAAUUCAAGAUGUUAAGCCUACUCAUCGCAAGGAGAGUUAGCAUCAAAAUGGAUGUGUCACUGACCAAUAACACAGAGAUGCCAGAAGUAUCUGUUUGCUAUCUACUUUUAAUUCAGUACUAUGGGGCAUCCAAAAGCCAUCACUCAGUUAAUUUCAGUCAGCACUUUUUAGCCCUUCCCAGUGCUGAAAUUGUCAUAGACCCUUUGUUUUUAUUGUUUAAAUGCUUAUCUAAAUGUAAAAUUAACAUUUAAUGGUCAUACAUUUAA